AUGAAAGUUCAGGGGAGCUGGAAAGGCCGGCUGAGAUACAAACCCGAGGAUGUUUGUGACCCUAUGACCUGAUCUGGAUAACGCCAGCGUAGGGAUGAGCGAAGUGAUUGUAU
rnacentral:ncRNA from 1 species